CUCUCUCCUUUUCAUUUCAUAACUCGAUAAAAAUUAUGAGAAUUUUCUGCCAAUCGUUCAAAAGUGAAAUUAUUAUUGCGCAACCGACGACCCGGCGUCAACGAGGUUUGAUUGGAUUAGUGUCGACUACGUAAGGCUGGUGUACUCCACAUCGAACCAGCCAAUGCAACGAUACAACAAUGAAAGAGUAAUUACGAAAAGUUUGAUACAAAUGGAAAUUACUUGGCGAAACUGUCGAAGUGGCUUGUUAUCCACGGCCACGAUGAUUCAUCGCCGAAUCAUUCGCGUCGAUACAUGUGCAUCGCAGAUGCACGCCACUUUUCUUUCCACGAUUCGGUUCCAGCAUCGAGGAUAUGAAUCACGACACGACGCAGGUUGUGAAAAAAUUG